GCUAGGACGAACGCUGGCGGCGUGCCUAAUACAUGCAAGUCGAACGGUCUUUCUAUGGAAGCUUGCUUCCACUGAGAAGAUAGUGGCGAACGGGUGAGUAACACGUGGGUAACCUGCCCAUAAGAGGGGGAUAACAUCCGGAAACGGGUGCUAAUACCGCAUAGUUUUCUUGAUCGCAUGAUUGAGAAAGGAAAGACGGCCUUUGUGCUGUCGCUUAUGGAUGGACCCGCGGCGUAUUAGUUAGUUGGUGAGGUAACGGCUCACCAAGACGAUGAUACGUAGCCGACCUGAGAGGGUGAUCGGCCACAUUGGGACUGAGACACGGCCCAAACUCCUACGGGAGGCAGCAGUAGGGAAUCUUCCGCAAUGGACGAAAGUCUGACGGAGCAACGCCGCGUGAGUGAAAGAAGGUUUUCGGAUCGUAAAACUCUGUUGUCAGAGAAGAACAAGUUGGAGAGUAACUGCUCCAGCCUUGACGGUAUCUGACCAGAAAGCCACGGCUAACUACGUGCCAGCCGCCGC
rnacentral:rRNA from 1 species